UACGAAGGGGGCUAGCGUUGUUCGGAAUCACUGGGCGUAAAGGGCGCGUAGGCGGCUUAUAAGUCGGGGGUGAAAGCCUGUGGCUCAACCACAGAAUUGCCUUCGAUACUGUAGAGCUUGAGACCGGAAGAGGUAAGUGGAACUGCGAGUGUAGAGGUGAAAUUCGUAGAUAUUCGCAAGAACACCAGUGGCGAAGGCGGCUUACUGGUCCGGUUCUGACGCUGAGACGCGAAAGCGUGGGGAGCGAACAGGA
rnacentral:rRNA from 1 species